rnacentral:lncRNA from 1 species
UUUUCUUCGGCCCAAUAAUCAUAUAGCAUUGAUUAGGCCGAAUUAUAAUUUCUAGAAAGUUUUGAGUUCCCAAUUAUAUUAGCUUUUUAUUAGGCCCAAUUACGAUUUAUGAAAAGUUUGGGCUUUUUACUAGGCCCAAUUUCGAUCUUGAAUUUUUAUUUGGCCCAAUUACGAUUUGUGCAAAUGUUUGGUCCUUUUAUUAGGCUCACUGAGAGGGACAUUUCCAUAUUGAGAGAGAGAGAGAGAGAGGGAGAGAGCUUUUUUCGUCCGUUCCCACACCAAGAAGCCACUGUGCUAGACGAGUCAAGUACGGCUCUGCGCGAGAACUGCUGCUGAAUAUCCAAUAUCGCUCUUAGACUCUCUAGCUCCCCAGCAAAUUCCCUCUCAAAUUUCCUGCACAUCGUAUAUGUCAGUGAGUGAGUGUGCAUUUGCGUGUGUGUGUGUGUGAGAGAGAGAGAGAGAGAGAGAUGACGUACAUUGCACAAACGCGGUGACCCUUUGGUAAGCACUCCCCGGUAUGUAUGUAUAUAUACCGGGGAUAUUAUUACUCCAGGUAUAUAAUACAUGAUAGAGAAAUCGUAUGUCUGUAUCCUCAAUUACAACUUCAUUGACUUGUAUCUGUACCCAAAAAAAAUGUUGCACAUACAUGAAAGAGAAAUCAUAUACGUAUGUAUAUGUAUAUGCAAUUGGGAAAGUAUAUUACAUGGACUUACGUCCUUGCGGGUGCAGAAGCAACGGAAAGGAAGAGUUCCUUGAGUUGAUGGGCCGCAACUUUGCCAUCAUUGUCAGAGCAAGCAACAUGCCUUUCCACUUUCAUCCAUCACUAAAACGCAAAAACGAAAUAACAAAAUUAGAGCAAGAUUUCAAUGUCUUGUACAAUAGAGUCCAAAGAAUUUCGCUUAAAAAGGAAUUCGUCUAGGGAUGAUGAUAUAUUUCAUAUUGAGACAAUGGCAUAUUUAUGCAACUCUUGUUAAAACAUUUAUAUUUCAUACUUCACACAUGAUCAAUUAAACCUCAUAAUCAUAUGGGUGAGUUAUGAAUGCAAAAGGAAUGCGUACACACACACACACACACACAGAAAAGAACAAUCCACAUUAAAAAAAAAAAAAAAUUAAGUGAAAAAAACAUUUAAUAUAUCACUUACUUGCUGGCAUAAUUGAGAAUCUUCAGAACUGAAGACAGUUGAAGUAGCCUGACAUUCAUUACAAAGACAAACAAUCGAUCAAUACGUGAAAAAUAAGUUUAAGUAUGUAACAUAUGAAAACAAUGUGUUAUUACAAACCGGCAGCCCAGCACUCGUGACAUAAGGAGGAUGGCACCAGCAGGAGGAUUCUGCGACAUUUAUAACAGUAAACAUAAUUAUUUAAAUAUAAACUGAAUAACAAAAAAUAAAAAAAAAUAAAAAAAUGCGCCGAUUCAUUUUAUCACACGUGGAAAUACGGGCUUGAUCAUAAUCUGGCUAUGUCUUCCUACUAAACUAGCUUUUUCGGAAAUCUAAAUGGUUAUAUCAUAACCUGAAAAAAUCUAAACUGCUGUAACCACCCUUCAGAGAGAUUUAGCAUUAGUAAACAACCAAAAACAAAAGGCAAAUUGUAUAUAACUCUGAAGUCUAAAGUCUAGAAAAUAGUGUCACAAAUCGGAAAACAAAUAUUAUGUGUGAAGCAUAUACAUAAACGGAUAUUGAAAGAGAAAUAGGAACCGACAGAUUUUUCUGAGGGAGGAGAAGAGAAUAUAUUUGAAAUACUUUUAUAUAACAAAUUACACCAACUUAUGACAUAUAUGUUAAUAUUUAGGGUAAAUUACAAACACCCCCCUGAGGUAUGGUCGAAUUACAAAAACACCCCUCUUGUUUGGAUAAUUACAUCCACCCCCUCAACUCCUCAAAUUUAGUGGAAUCUUCAAGAUUAUAUGGAAUAUUAUCACUUUUGUACCCGUUUUAUCCCAUUCAAACUCUACAUUAUGAAGCAAGAUGAUCAUAAUAUGUGAUUUUUAGCUUGUAUAUAUCAGUUUGUGGUGCAUCGGAAACUGUAUUUUUUACACAAAACGAGUACAAACUAGAGCACAUUUCACGGAAUCUAGAUGAUUAUGUUGAAUUUGGCACCAUAAAGGUGGAGGUCUAAGAAAAAAUCAUAGUUGAGGGGUAGAUGUAAUUAUCCAAAACAAGAGGGGGGUUUUUGUAAUUUGACCAUACCUCAGGGGGGGUUUGUAAUUUACCCUAAUAUUUAAUGCAGAAAAAAUAAAAUUAUUAUUGGACUUACACCAGAAGUGCCACCUAAAAAUCUUCUACCCCCGCCUCCGUUGAGGGUAGAUGGAGGCUUUCUGUUUUCUUUUCCCUCAUCUGAAGAUGCCAUUGUUUGUACGUACGUCUG